rnacentral:rRNA from 1 species
UUGGAGGGCAAGUCUGGUGCCAGCAGCCGCGGUAAUUCCAGCUCCAAUAGCGUAUAUUAAAGUUGUUGCAGUUAAAAAGCUCGUAGUUGAAUUUCGGGAUUGACGUGAUGGUCAUGCCUUAAGGGGUAUGAACUGUUACUGUUGAUUUCUCACCUCCUGGAGAAACUUGAUGUCCUUUAUUGGGCGUCUUGCGGAUCCAGGACCUUUACCUUGAAAAAAUUAGAGUAUUUAAAGCAGGCAUUUUUGCUCGAAUACAUUAGCAUGGAAUAAUAGAAUAGGACGGCAUGGUUCUAUUUUGUUGGUUUCUAGGAUCACCGUAAUGAUUAAUAGGGAUAGUUGGGGGCAUUAGUAUUCAAUUGUCAGAGGUGAAAUUCUUGGAUUUAUUGAAGACUAACUACUGCGAAAGCAUUUGCCAAGGAUGUUUUCAUUAAUCAAGAACGAAAGUUAGGGGAUCGAAGACGAUCAGAUACCGUCGUAGUCUUAACCAUAAACUAUGCCGACUAGGAAUCAGACGAUGUUAAUUUUUUAAUGACUCGUUCGGCGCCUUACGGGAAAC